ACUCAAUCAAAAUCUUCAAGCCUCCACCUUGAAUCAACAAAUUAACCAAACUCAGAACAAUCACCACCUUCAGUCACCAUCUCUUGUUCAUCAUAACUUUCAGUCUUCUCAAUCCACUGCCUUGCAGAAUCAGAAAUUGCAAGCUCCACUUCAACAGCAGCAAUACAUAUUGCAGCAGAAGCAGCAACAACAACAAAAAUGUCAGAUUCCAACUCAGAUACCACCACAAGUCAAUCAGCAAUUUGAUCUACCUGAGCAACAUAUUCACUUCCAAAUACUUCAGAAAAUUCAGCAGCAACAGAAGCAACAACAAUCACUGAUUAUUCAAACACCUCCUCAGCACAGAGUUCAUGAGAAUCAACAUAAAACCAUUCUGGAGAAUCCAGAAGUA
rnacentral:lncRNA from 1 species